GGCAGCCGUAUAAAAGGAGGAGCAGCGCGGAGCUUGCGGAGCUAUAAGGUAGUGGAGGGUGUGAGAACGCGAGUUACAACACAGAUCAAACAUAAAGACACAUCGCUUCCCUGCUGACGCCGUCUCCAGACAAGAAAACACACACAGACGUUUUGUCCCCGAGCUACUGAGCGGUAAAGCAUGGUACUCUACGAAGACAAGGAAUGCAGCGUGUGCUUCCUGCCCUACUCCCGGCAGGACCGCGUUCCCCGGGUCCUGCACUGCGAGCACACCUUCUGCGCUCCUUGCCUGGAGCUCAUAGCCCAGCUCAAGGACGGCCUCCUUACCGUGCGCUGCCCGCUCUGCCGGCAGACAACCUACGUGAACCCUGACCGAGGUCUUCAGGGAGCGCUGUGGGUAGAUGUUGAGCGAUGGGAGCAGAUCUCUGAGGAUGAUGACGAAGAGGAGGAGAAGGAAGCUGAACAGGAGAAUCAGGGCAAAAAAACACAACUUGCUUCAACAGAGGAAUGGCCAUCCUCCAAGCCUUCCAGACCAAAGAUCAAACUGCCUGCCUUCUUGAGGAGGCUACAUUUCACAAAGCACCAGCAGCAGGAAACACUGCUGCCCACGUCUAAUGUACAGAUGAAGUCUUGGCGCAGGCUCUCACCAGAAGAAAUGAUUUAGGGGACUUGCUAGGAGAACAUUCCCUGCCUUGAUCUUAAACUUUUCAAUAAGUCUUCAGUUUUAUACAAGUGUGCGUCGGACAGUAUUAUGGGACCUCCUGGGGGGGAAACCAGAACGUAGGAGGCUGGAUGUAAAAGAUGCCGUGCAGUGGAAAAUAAUCGCGUUAGACUGGCCUUUGUUGCAACACUUGAGGAACAAUCACAUGGUGCACAGACUCCGGCUACGAGGACGUGGCCGUCAGCUAUUCUCUCCACCCUAAUCCCUCACAGCUGCUCAUGGGGGAUUUGGCUCAGCUGUCCUGACCCAGUGUCCCACAAACAGAUGGUCUCCAGCAGGUCAGGGCCCCCCUUGACCUCCUGCCCUUCUGAAACUAGGGGCACAAUCACCCUGUGUCCAGACCUGUCAUUUUUUAAAUGUGC
rnacentral:lncRNA from 1 species